rnacentral:tRNA from 1 species
GCGGGUAUGGCGGAACUGGUAGACGCGCUAGAUUCAGGUUCUAGUGGGCGCAAGCUCGUGGAAGUUCAAGUCUUCUUACCCGCACCA